ACAUCCAGAGAAUUUAGCAGAGAUGCUUUAGUGCCUUCGGGAACUCUGAGACAGGUGCUGCAUGGCUGUCGUCAGCUCGUGUUGUGAAAUUGUUGGGUUAAGUCCCGNAACGAGCGCAACCCUUAUCCUUUGUUGCCAGCACGUAAUGGUGGGAACUCAAAGGAGACUGCCGGUGAUAAACCGGAGGAAGGUGGGGAUGACGUCAAGUCAUCAUGGCCCUUACGAGUAGGGCUACACACGUGCUACAAUGGCGCAUACAAAGAGAAGCGACCUCGCGAGAGCAAGCGGACCUCAUAAAGUGCGUCGUAGUCCGGAUUGGAGUCUGCAACUCGACUCCAUGAAGUCGGAAUCGCUAGUAAUCGUAAAUCAGAAUGUUACGGUGAAUACGUUCCCGGGCCUUGUACACACCGCCCGUCACACCAUGGGAGUGGGUUGCAAAAGAAGUAGAUAGCUUAACCUUCGGGAGGGCGUUUACCACUUUGUGAUUCAUGACUGGGGUGAAGUCGUAACAAGGUAAGCGUAGUGCU
rnacentral:rRNA from 1 species